UCCCACAGAUUUAAGGAACUAUUAAACUCUGUAAUAUUUUCUAUAUAACAUAGGAGUUCUGACUUGAUUAGGAUUAGGACUAAAAGUAUGUGCUUACUUAGAGUAUAGAACAGGAAUGGUAAAUAAGUAAAUUUGACCUAGGGAGAUUAGAAAAGAAUUCGAAGAUGUACUAAGAAAUAUUUGUCUUGAACACUGUGUAGAGGUGUUUUGUGAAUUUGUUUGUCUCUGUUUGACUGAAGGUUAAAAGUGAUGGAAGGGAAGAGAGGAAGUAAUUACAUAUGAUAUAGCAGAAAACUUACGUGGAUCACUUUUCAUGAGCCUUGGGUAGUGUUCAUAGAUAGCUUCAUGUCAGCUUCCCACACUCUUGUUGAUCACAAAGUCUGCUUUCUGGUUCAUAUUGUCAUAGGUAAGCAUGAAAUAAAUCUUUCUAUCAAGAAGAGCCAGUUUUCUCUAAAGUUGGGGACUGAUGUCAAGGUUGAAACUGGGUGCUAAGGGUACUUCUUGCAAAUGAAGUAACAAGGCGUGUGCAUAUGCCACACCGUAUGUGUGGAGGUCAGACGGCAACAAUUUCUUUUUAUCCAGUGUCCCAGGGACUGAACUCGGUUCACCUGACUUGGCAGCAAAUGCCUUUACCUACUAGACCAUUUCACUAUCCCUCUUAAUUCCUCUUUAUUUUUCACUGCCAAACAAUAUAUCAUUGUAUGGAUUUAUAACAUUGUUAGUGGACAUUUGUGUUAUUUCUACUUUUUAAAGCUAUUAUGAAUAAUGCUACUAUCAACAUUUAAGUACAUGUCUUUGUAUAAUUUUUUUCCUUUUAGGUUUGUAGACAGGAAUGGAAUUUCUGAAUCAUUUGGAAAUUCUAUGUGGAAAAUUUUGAGGAAUUAUCAAACAAUUUUGGAACAGUAUUUUGGAAACUAUUGUUUUCUAUAUUGACAGCAUACCCACCAGCAAUGUAGGAGUGAAAAAAGCCCUUUCCCAUCAGGCUGGGUCUGGAAAAGAGAAGAAAUAAUAUACUAAGGGAGAAACACAGGACAAGGUCUAGCUGCAAUUUGAGAAGAAUUUGGAAAUAAGGAGAUAAGUAUUCUUGCACUCCAAUGAAGGGCAGAAGUCAGUCUACUCCGUGAUCUACAGUCUGGAUCUCAUAUCUGGGAGUUGAAUCUCUCUUGCAUGUGGGGCAAGUGCAGAUUGUGCAACAGAGGCUCCUGUGUGCAUCUGACAGGAGAAGUUUGUUCCAAGUGUCAUAGUGUUGUUUUCAUCUUGAUAGACUAGUACAAUCUGGCGGGAUGGUGGGGGAGGGGUUGGGCGCUGGGGAUGGGGGAGUGCUCAGGUCAAUGAACAAUGAGAGCUUACAUGCCGUAUGUAGAAAUGAAGCUCAGUGGAAGGGGUAGGUGAGCUGAGGCAAUGGGGAAAGGGUAGCAUUUGCAAAGGCUGCAAAAGACAGAAAGAAAUCUGCAAUGGGUCCUGGAAAAGUUGAUGGGAAAUUCAGUAACACGUCCACUAACUCAGCACCAGCACCGUCCACCAUCCUUCGGCUAUGAUGAGAAUUUAAAGUUCAAGAGAGAGUGAGGGGGCUGGAGAGAUGGUUCAGUGGUUAAGAGCCCUGGAUGCUCUUCCAGAGGACCUGGGUUCAUUUCCCA